GACGAACGCUGGCGGCGUGCCUAAUACAUGCAAGUAGAACGCUGAAGGAGGAGCUUGCUUCUCUGGAUGAGUUGCGAACGGGUGAGUAACGCGUAGGUAACCUGCCUGGUAGCGGGGGAUAACUAUUGGAAACGAUAGCUAAUACCGCAUAAUAGCAGUUGUUGCAUGACAACUGUUUGAAAGGUGCAAUUGCACCACUACCAGAUGGACCUGCGUUGUAUUAGCUAGUUGGUGGGGUAACGGCUCACCAAGACGACGAUACAUAGCCGACCUGAGAGGGGGAUCGGCCACACUGGGACUGAGACACGGCCCAGACUCCUACGGGAGGCAGCAGUAGGGAAUCUUCGGCAAUGGACGGAAGUCUGACCGAGCAACGCCGCGUGAGUGAAGAAGGUUUUCGGAUCGUAAAGCUCUGUUGUAAGAGAAGAACGAGUGUGAGAGUGGAAAGUUCACACUGUGACGGUAUCUUACCAGAAAGGGACGGCUAACUACGUG
rnacentral:rRNA from 1 species